GGGUAAAGCAAAGUCUUCAAGGGAAGAUAACAAAGGAUGAAACAAUGGUGUUGUGUGACUUCCUAGUGUGAAUCAUGGCAAUACAGUGAAAGACAGUGAUUUACUGCUUUUGAGGGCGUGCAUGUAUAUGAUUAACGGAUGGAAGUGCAGGACUCCAAGAUUUACUUCCUUCCCUUUCCAGCAGAAUUACCUGAGACGAGUAAAAUCUACUGGUGGAGUCACUCCAUUAUUCUUAUCUGUGGAGAUCUAGAUCUUGAUUUGAAAGUUUCUGAGAAAAUCUUCAGCUCAGACUUGAGGGUCAACUUUACCAGCUGAAGGAUCUGCAUUUACUGCUCAACCACAUCUAAUUUGAUGUCCUCUGCAGAUUUAAAAUGUGUGCCUUCUUUUCCGUCACCAAGUCAUCCCUGGGUUACUACUGAACAUCCUUCUCAAUUCCCCCCGACCCAUGGAUGGCUGUUCUCCAUUGUCUGUUUCACCAGAUGUCCUCAAAACAAACAGACAGAAGAAGGAAGUGGCUAAUGGAGCUGUGGAGUCCAAGUGUGACUGCCAAGAGGAAUCCAGCAAAGCCAAAAAGCCCAAGCAUGUAGCCCUGCCCGAAGCACGCCACACGCAUGGAAAACCCAGAGGAAAUGAGUGAGGAUCAAUGGGAAGAAGAGAGCCAGCCAGGUUCGAUGCCUUCUCCAUCCGUCAGUGAGGGUGUGGAGAGCCUGCAGGCGUGUGCCUCCCUCUGUAACUUGCUAUUCCUUGUGUAAUGUCAAGUGGAAGUGUGAAGCACCACAAACUGCUCUGAGCAGAGCCCACUUCCCUUCACCCACGGAGAGCGUGAAGCAGUUACACCAACAUCAAUCAAGGAAAACCCACAGGCUGAGCUCACACGGUUGAAGCAGGAAGUUGAAGAUUUGUCCAGGAGCAGAUAGCUGAAGAGAGAGAGAGAGAAGAGAGAACGGCUUACAGCUCAGGUCCUCUCUCCAUGCUUAGGAACCACUACAAAUGCUACUGCCUUGAGUCUCAUUUUGUUUCCCUCUGGAAACCACAUGUGUACCUUGUUUGCAACAGUAUGGUUGGAAAACUUUAAUAUGAGAUUGAAGAUAUGAUUUGCUUUCUGGAUUGUUGUAUGCUACUAAAACCGAAGAAAGAGAAGGAAAAAUGGAUGAAUCGACGGACCAUAUCACCCUGGCACCUAUAUCAGCUCAAAAACUGAAGGAAAUACCCCUUUCCUGCCCUCUCUUUGACUAAUGCUAUAGACUCUGAGUCAGUAGUUCCUGGUGGGACCUGAGAGUCCACAUUCCUGAUGAGCUCCAGGUGUUCCCAUGCUGCUGCCCCUCUGACCACACUUAGAAUAAGAAGGCUUGAAAUGAAAUCUGAGAAAUCAGCCUCUUGAUUCCAAUUUUAAACAUGCAAUUGAUUCUUGUAAUUUUUCAUUCUUGUCAAAAUGCAUACCAGUAAGUUUGUAAUCAGUAUUGGCAUGCUUAAAAGAAUUUAAGACUUGUUAUAUUUGUCAUUUUAAUUUAUUUAAACUUUAAAGAUUUGUUCAGAACUUGGAAAGAUUUUGCUUAAGCUCAUAAAUUUACCCACUCAGGCAUAUGAGAUAGGGUACUUUGAUUUAUAAAUGAAGUUUAAAAUUAAGGGAAUUUAAUUAAGUUUUCAAAAUGAGAUUGGUUGUUUUAAGGGGAAUUUACUUUGUGUAACUUGAGUUCAUCAAACGCUAAUCCAAGUUCCCUGCAAAACCUGUUCUGUUUUAUAUAACAUUUACUCGUUUUAGAAAUAGAUGAGAUUUGCAAAUUGAACCUAAAGACUUAAGGCAAAUUAUGUAUCUUUUUAUACUUUAAUAAAGAAAAAUAAAAUAAAUUUGAAACACAAAUAACUCUAACUGGCCCUUUUUAUGUAAAAAGAAGUCCUUGAAUAAAAUUUACCUUGACAGCACUA
rnacentral:lncRNA from 1 species